rnacentral:lncRNA from 1 species
GAGGCGGAGACACAAGGCUCCGUUCCACUGGGCACGCCAGCGGUAGAGACAGGGUUUCACCAUGUUGGCCAGGCUGGUCUCAAACUCCUGAGCUCAGGCGAUCUGCCCGCCUCGGCCUCCCAAAGUGCUGGGAUUACGGGCGUGAGCCACUGCACCCGGUUCAAGCGAUUCUCCUGCCUCAGCCCCCUGAGUAGCUGGGAUUACAGGCACGCGCCACCACUCCCAGAUCUUCACUUCAGGUCAGCUCCAAGGAGGCUAUCCUUGCCCAUCUUCCUAAAAUAGAGCUCUCAAAACCUGGCUGUUUUCCUUCAGAGCACUGGCCUCCAAUUGCUCCGGUAGAUUGCAAAUGACCUGCUUUCUUUCUGUUCCCGGGCGUUUGGACCCCUGUCUUGGACCGCUGUCGGAUAGUAAAUCCCAAGUAAGGUACCUGCCGUCGGCAGAUUUGAGCUUUCUUCUUGGACACCUAAUACCCAGAGUCCUCCAGGCUCCGGUAGAUUGCAAAUGACCUGCUUUCUUUCUGUUCCCGGGCGGCAUCGGACCCGUCGGAGAGUAAAUCCCAAGUAAGGUACCUGCCGUUGGCAGAUUUGAGCUUUCUUCUUGGACACCUAAUACCCACAGUCCUCCAGGCUCCGGUAGAUUGCAAAUGACCUGCUUUCUUUCUGUUCCCGGGUGGCAUCGACCCGUCGGAGAGUAAAUCCCAAGUAAGGUACCUGCCGUUGGCAGAUUUGAGCUUUCUUCUUGGACACCUAAUACCCACAGUCCUCCAGUAAAUCCCAAGCAAGGUACCUGCCGUCAGCAGAUUUGAGCUUUCUUCUUGGACACCUAAUACCCACAGUCCUCCAGGCUCCGGUAGAUUGCAAAUGACCUGCUUUCUUUCUGUUCCCGGGCUGCGUUCGGACCCCUGUCGGAUAGUAACUCCCAAGUAAGGUACCUGCCGUCGGCAGAUUGGAGCUUUCUUCUUGGAGACCUAAUACCCACAGUCCUCCAGAAAAACAAACAAAGACAUGGAUUUACUGUGCAUAUUAGCAGAUCCAUACUGGAAAAUGCAUGGAGGUUUCAUAUACACCACUUACAGUUUUCAGCUCCUCAGUAGUGACAAAGCCAUACCCAUCAUUGUCGAUUCGAUCAACAAUCUUCCCUAGCCUCUCCUUGCUCUCGUCCGGGGUGAGCUCGUCGAAGUUCUUGGAGUCCUCCUUGCCCAGGAAGGCCUCGUGGUCGUACUGGAAGCUCUGGUUGUCCUCAGGGGGCCGCUCGCCCAGCUCCGAGUCGGGCCGCACCACGCGCUCUUUGCGCACCGUGGGCUUGGCCCGCAGAACCCGCGGCGCCAGCACCAGCGCCAGCAGCAGCCCCAGGGCUAACCCCAGGCGGCCACCGCGCGCCAUCGUCCCGAGGAGAGGGCGGCCGGGAGGGAGACGCUGAGCGAGCGACAACAGCGGCAGCUCGGGAAUGGGGGCUCGGAGCGCGGCGGCCAAGUUUUAUGUUAUGUAUAUUUUACAAGUAAAAAAAUUUUUUCACCUCAGCCUGAAAAAAAAAAAAAAAAAAAAAAAAAAAAAAAAAAAAAAAAAAAAAAAAAAAAAAAAA